AAAGUCGUAACAAGGUAUCCGUAGGUGAACCUGCGGAUGGAUCAUUAUCACGUAUCCACGUAUCAACCAUUGUGAACUGUCUUUACCUUUGAGAAGUUUUGUGAGUGAUUAGGGUUUGAAAUUUCUUUCACGAGAGAUAUCAACUCGCUUCUCAAGGUGUAUUUAAUCACUUCAUUAUUAAACAAUUUUAACCAUAAAUUUUAAAUUUUUGAACUGAUCUAUUUCAUACUCUUCGGAGAUGAAAUUCAUUACGAAACAAAGAACAACUCUUAGCAACGGAUAUCUUGGUUCUC
rnacentral:misc_RNA from 1 species